rnacentral:rRNA from 1 species
UGAGGAAUAUUGGUCAAUGGGCGGAGCCUGAACCAGCCAAGUCGCGUGAGGGAAGACGGUCCUAUGGAUUGUAGACCUCUUUUGUCGGGGAGCAAAGACACCUACGCGUAGGUGGAUGAGAGUACCCGAAGAAAAAGCAUCGGCUAACUCCGUGCCAGCAGCCGCGGUAAUACGGAGGAUGCGAGCGUUAUCCGGAUUUAUUGGGUUUAAAGGGUGCGUAGGCGGGAUGUUAAGUCAGCGGUAAAAUUGAGGGGCUCAACCCCUUCGAGCCGUUGAAACUGGCAUUCUUGAGUGAAUGAGAAGUAUGCGGAAUGCGUGGUGUAGCGGUGAAAUGCAUAGAUAUCACGCAGAACUCCGAUUGCGAAGGCAGCAUACCGGCAUUCAACUGACGCUGAAGCACGAAAGCGUGGGGAUCAAACAGGAUUAGAUACC